rnacentral:rRNA from 1 species
AGGGAAUUUUCGGCAAUGGGGGAAACCCUGACCGAGCAACGCCGCGUGAGUGACGAAGGCCUUCGGGUUGUAAAGCUCUGUUGUAAGGGAAGAACGGUACAUAGAGGGAAUGCUAUGUAAGUGACGGUACCUUACCAGAAAGCCACGGCUAACUACGUGCCAGCAGCCGCGGUAAUACGUAGGUGGCAAGCGUUAUCCGGAAUUAUUGGGCGUAAAGGGUGCGCAGGCGGCUAUUUAAGUCCGUGGUAAAAGACUGAAGCUCAACUUCAGUAAGCCGCGGAAACUGGAUGGCUAGAGUGCAGGAGAGGAAAGUGGAAUUCCCAGUGUAGCGGUGAAAUGCGUAGAUAUUGGGAGGAACACCAGUGGCGAAGGCGACUUUCUGGACUGUGUCUGACGCUGAGGCGCGAAAGCCAGGGGAGUGAACG